CUCAGGAUGAACGCUGGCGGCGUGCUUAACACAUGCAAGUCGAACGGAGUUUUUAUCAAUUGAUUGAUUAAGCUUGCUUUUGAGAGAUUUUGAUAAAACUUAGUGGCGGACGGGUGAGUAACGCGUGGGUAACCUGCCGUAUACAGGGGGGACAACAGUUGGAAACGACUGCUAAUACCGCAUAAGCGCACGGUACCGCAUGGUACAGUGUGAAAAACUCCGGUGGUAUACGAUGGACCCGCGUCUGAUUAGCUAGUUGGUGAGGUAACGGCCCACCAAGGCGACGAUCAGUAGCCGGCCUGAGAGGGUGGACGGCCACAUUGGGACUGAGACACGGCCCAAACUCCUACGGGAGGCAGCAGUGGGGAAUAUUGCACAAUGGGGGAAACCCUGAUGCAGCGACGCCGCGUGAGUGAAGAAGUAUUUCGGUAUGUAAAGCUCUAUCAGCAGGGAAGAAAAUGACGGUACCUGACUAAGAAGCCCCGGCUAACUACGUG
rnacentral:rRNA from 1 species